rnacentral:rRNA from 1 species
UCCGGGGGGGGUAAGCGUUGUUCGGAAUUACUGGGCGUAAAGGGCUCGUAGGCGGCCAACUAAGUCGGACGUGAAAUCCCUCAGCUUAACUGGGGAACUGCGUCCGAUACUGGAUGGCUUGGAUUUGGGAGAGGGAUGCGGAAUUCCAGGUGUAGCGGUGAAAUGCGUAGAUAUCUGGAGGAACACCGGUGGCGAAGGCGGCAGCCUGGACCAAUAUUGACGCUGAGGAGCGAAAGCCAGGGGAGCAAACGGG